CUUCUUUUUAAACAAUGGCCUAUUGUGCACAUGCCCUUUGCUGUGUUUCUAGAUUUCAUGUGCCCUCCCUCAGCUUCUUCUACAAAGUCCGCUUGAUGAAAAGGCUUCAGAAACACUGCUGAGAUGAAAAGAUGGCCCCUGCCUUAGUCUGCCUCUCUGCAGCUUAAGAUCUUACUUCUUAUGAGAGCUUCAAGAAACAAGAGAGGAGAAAAUUAUUCCUAUGGGAGAGCAUUCCAGGUGCUCGACUCCUGCACCUGAGCCCUUGUGGCCCCCUCUUCGUGUCUCACAUGUACCCACACUGUGCAGGAUAUGUGCAAGAACAGCGAUUCUUGAUGCUUUUCCUUUCACCAGAUGAGGACUUCUCUUCCUCUCUGCUCCUCUGUUCACAUAUUUGCCUCCUAUUACCUCUCAUCAUCAGACUUCACUAGGAGAAUUCAUUAGUGUAUAUAACAUGCUCUGAGUUUGUUCAAAUAACGGUGAUGUUACACUUUUUCACUUUUAUAGACUCUUUUAUCUGAAGAUCAAAGUAGUUAGUUAUCAUUACCAUGACCGGAUUAUUGCUGCUUAGCCUUUGGAUCUAAGGGUAAGCGGCAACUCUUCUGCGUAGGCAUUAAUGAGAACUACUGGAUGGUUUCAUUAAAUUGAUUGAAUGCCUUAAAGUAUGUUAAUGCUUACAGAAAGAGGUGCAUACACAUGCUGUAUGCUUCCUUCCUUUCUACCUGAUGGUUUGAGUUAGGUGACACCUGGCUGUCACUCAGUUUCUUUGGUCCACGUGAAAACAGAAGAAAGACCAUCACGGAGGAUCUCAGAGGUGCCUCCUUCAACCCCAGACUCUGUCCAAGCACAGAAAAUUUUUCGUCCCUAUUUUUCAGCAUGACCCACAUAUCCCCAGCACAUCCUGGUUGUGCCACACUGGCGUCUCAGAUGGCAGAGUAGUCCCAAUGAGACAUUUAGUAUCUCAUCACUCCAAACAGCACAAUCUCAUCUCAAGAUCUUGACCUGCCAGUGCAUUCAUUGAUCCCUAGAGAAGACAAAGCAAUUUAGGCUUAUUCCAAGCAGGCCAGUUGUGAAAAUGUUAAUGACUAAGAAACCUUUGUGCUGGACCAGAACAAACUCAAAAUACCCUGGUGAGAUAUUUGCUUGGCUGGAGCUUUUGCCUGAAACAGAGAAAAUAACAGAAUGAAGGAAGAUGAGAGAAUGAGGUGGGGGAACUCUUUGUGUAACCCGCUUUGCUCUACAAAGCCCAGAUACCUUAGCAUCAGGAGCAAGACCUUCUGAGAGGAAACUUCACUGAUAGAAAGCAAAGCAGCAGCUUUCACAGAGGGAUGCUUUUGAAUUUUUCUUAAUAUUUAAAUUGCAUAUGUACUCAAACAGUUUGUGAACCCAGAGACUGUGUUGU